GCGUUCGCCAGUUGCUGCUUGGGACUCGGGCUGCGCGGUUGGUGAACAGCCUUGCCGUUUUGCUGUCACGUACCUUCCCUGAGCCUGGGACUGAGGGGGCGCGCGCGUGUGCGUGUGUUGUGUGAGGGACAGCGGGAUUCGGGCAGGGCCGUCCCCCGAUCCCUUUUCCCUUAGCGGAGGCGGCAGUGCGCACGCUGGUUUGCUCGCCGCCCACUUGGGAGCGGGCUCAGGGUGCGGAGUGCGUCUUCGGUUUUUUUCUUUUUUCUUUUUUUUAACUUGUGAGAGUCUUUUUCCCCCUCCCUCUUCCAUUUUUAUUUUCUUUUGGCUCCGUGCCUCUAGGGCUGGUUUACCCGGCCCCUGAAUUACCGCUUCCUGACCCCGGUCGCCAAUCUUGCCCCAGGUUGCUCCCCGGCUCUGCCCCUGCCCCCCAACCCCCGCCCGAGGGUGGGAAGCCUUGCCUAGUGGGUCUCUGAAGCGUAGCCGCACCUGCCUCAGUAUGCACGGGGUCCACGACCCUCCACUUUUUAUAAAAGACAUUAAGGCCGGACUGAAAAACUUAAAUGUCGUCUUUAUUGUCCUGGAGAUAGGACGAGUGACCAAAACCAAAGACGGCCAUGAAGUGAGAUCCUGCAAAGUAGCUGAUAGAACGGGAAGCAUCACUAUUUCUGUGUGGGAUGAGAUCGGAGGGCUCAUACAGACAGGGGAUAUUAUUCGGUUGACCAGAGGGUAUGCAUCAAUGUGGAAAGGAUGCCUGACACUUUAUACUGGAAGAGGUGGUGAACUUCAAAAAAUUGGAGAAUUUUGUAUGGUGUAUUCAGAAGUGCCAAAUUUCAGUGAGCCAAAUCCAGAUUAUAGAGGACAGCAGAAUAGAGGGGUACAAAAUGAACAGAAGGAUAAAAUGAGCACCAAUACAUUUGGACCAGUGGGAAAUGGUGAUCAGACUGGCCCUGAAUCUAGGGGAUAUCAUCUUCCAUAUGGCAGAAGCAAUGGUCCAAGACCUAUCAGUCCACAGCUACCAGGAGCACCUAGUAAUCAAACAGUCAGGAGCACAAUAAGUAACGCCAGAGAUCCAAGGAGAGCCUUUAAAAGAUGACCUAAGCCAAAGAGACACAUGUAGUUUUUAAACUACAUGACCUACUUGAACACUUAGUGCACUUUUAUUUAUUCUUAACUGUGAAAACUUUGUCUCUUACGGGUUUCCUUUUAUAUUUUUGGUUUGUUGAAGAGUGGUUGGUUUUUACUGGAAAAACUGUUACACUGCUCAGUUACAUCCUAUUGAAGAAUAGGAACUCUGAAAGCAGGAACAUUUAUUUUUUGAGCAAGAACUUACUGGGUAUCACUUGAAAACCUGUCCCUGUUUCAAGGGUGAGUUACUUAAGACACCAGCUUAUAUAUAGCCUCUGUGAGUCUGGCUUCUGCAUAAACUUUGUAAUGUUUGUCAUAAUGUUUAAUGGAACUUGUCUUAAACUUGGACAUUGCCACCUGAAGCAAUAACUACCCCAAGCCGGAAACUUGGUCAGCAUUGUCAACAUUUUUGAGUGUUCCUGAUCUAGGAAUGGCUUGACUUCCUAAGAGUGUCUGCCUGCCAUAAGGUUUUUUUCACAGACAGAAUCAGAAUCAUCCUAAACUCUUGUUUAUUGACCAGAUAACCAAAUUCUUCAUCAGAAUUACGGAAUAAAAUAUGGAAUAUAACAAGAAACCGGUUUAAGAUGAUGCUCUUAACAUUCGUUGCAAACAUUGAAGUUUACAUUGAAAAAAAAUUUACAACUGAGUCCCUGAAUGUUUUAUUUUUGAAGUUACCAUGUUAAAUAUUGAAGUGUAAUUGGAGGGAUUGAAGAGAGCUGUAACACCUUAUUGGACAGUGGUCUCAUUGAUACUACUUGUAGUAUUUUUGAGACAGGGUCUUUCUCUCUACAGCCCUGGUUGGUUGGAACUUGUUACAUAUAUCAGGUGGGUCUCUGAACUAUAGAUUGAUCUGCCUCUCUCUUCCUGGAGCUGGGAUUAAAGUUGUGUAGCACCACACAAGGCUAAUCUGAUUAUUUAAAAAAAAAAUACUCAUGGUAGUUACUAUACCAAAUACAAAUCAAAUUCAAUUCAUAUAGCCAUGUGACUACCAGUUGCAAGUAGUCGGGUAGAAGUAGACAUUUCCUUUCUUCCAGGAAUGUGUGUGUUUAAAGUUUUUGAACAAGUCACAUAGCCUUACUAGCAAAGGUUAAAUGGCUCAAGAAGUGAUUAUACUUCUGUUGAGGUGGGAUUUGUGUGAUGGAACGUCACUUACAGUGGGUGAUUGGUAAUUUUUUUCAUUGUUAGUAUUUGUCUCUCCUGAAAUAUUGUCUCUUGAGUAAAACUUGCUAUAAUGAUGACAUAUCUACCUACUUACUUUUACUCUUUCAGUAAACAUGGAGAGCCCAGUCCAUUUUACUGAAGUUGUAUUCAUCUUCAGCCUGACUGCUCCCUAACUCUGUACCUGUCAUUUCUCCUUACCUCAUAUUGUAAAAUAAGAAAACUUCUAAAACCAAAGCAAGUGAAAUCCAAACAGUAAUGAAUAAUUGCCUUUCCAGUCUGCUUGGAUACCACUCAUCAAGAAGUUACUGAAAAAAGUGUCAACCUUCCUCCUCUCUGGUGCCUUCAGUUAUCAACGAUGACAAAUUUCAAUAAGACCCAGUGAAACACAAAACAUAAUAUAGAAAUGCACUUCUAGGAUUGGGUCCCCAUUACUGUUUCUAGGCACAGUUCUGGAUUAGAACAAACACAUGAUCAGACUAGCCUUGUCCCUUAUUUUUCUGGCCAGGUUCACAGGGAAUUGCCACAGGAUAGAAAGUAAAAUGAAAAGUCUAAAUGCCCAAAGGCUGAAGUUUGCCUCGCAGAAGCACUUUUAAAGAAAAAAAAAGUUUUAUGUAUUUACUAUGUAUAUAGUAGUUCUGUGUGUAUGUAUGCUU